rnacentral:rRNA from 1 species
UACGUAGGGUGCGAGCGUUGUCCGGAAUUAUUGGGCGUAAAGAGCUCGUAGGCGGUUCGUCGCGUCGGCUGUGAAAUCCCGAGGCUCAACCUCGGGUCUGCAGUCGAUACGGGCGGACUGGAGUUCGGCAGGGGAGACUGGAAUUCCUGGUGUAGCGGUGAAAUGCGCAGAUAUCAGGAGGAACACCGGUGGCGAAGGCGGUUCUCUGGGCAUGGUCCUGACGGCUGAGGAGCGAAAUGUGUGGGGAGCGAACAGG